UUAGUAUUUGGUCGUAGACCCGAAACCAGGUGAUCUACCCUUGGUCAGGUUGAAGUUCAGGUAACACUGAAUGGAGGACCGAACCGACUUACGUUGAAAAGUGAGCGGAUGAACUGAGGGUAGCGGAGAAAUUCCAAUCGAACCUGGAGAUAGCUGGUUCUCUCCGAAAUAGCUUUAGGGCUAGCCUCAAGUGAUGAUUAUUGGAGGUAGAGCACUGUUUGGACGAGGGGCCCCUCUCGGGUUACCGAAUUCAGACAAACUCCGAAUGCCAAUUAAUUUAACUUGGGAGUCAGAACAUGGGUGAUAAGGUCCGUGUUCGAAAGGGAAACAGCCCAGACCACCAGCUAAGGUCCCAAAAUAUAUGUUAAGUGGAAAAGGAUGUGGCGUUGCCCAGACAACUAGGAUGUUGGCUUAGAAGCAGCCAUCAUUUAAAGAGUGCGUAAUAGCUCACUAGUCGAGUGACACUGCGCCGAAAAUGUACCGGGGCUAAACAUAUUACCGAAGCUGUGGAUUGUCCUUUGGACAAUGGUAGGAGAGCGUUCUAAGGGCGUUGAAGCAUGAUCGUAAGGACAUGUGGAGCGCUUAGAAGUGAGAAUGCCGGUGUGAGUAGCGAAAGACGGGUGAGAAUCCCGUCCACCGAUUGACUAAGGUUUCCAGAGGAAGGCUCGUCCGCUCUGGGUUAGUCGGGUCCUAAGCUGAGGCCGACAGGCGUAGGCGAUGGAUAACAGGUUGAUAUUCCUGUACCACCUAUAAUCGUUUUAAUCGAUGGGGGGACGCAGUAGGAUAGGCGAAGCGUGCGAUUGGAUUGCACGUCUAAGCAGUAAGGCUGAGUAUUAGGCAAAUCCGGUACUCGUUAAGGCUGAGCUGUGAUGGGGAGAAGACAUUGAGUCUUCGAGUCGUUGAUUUCACACUGCCGAGAAAAGCCUCUAGAUAGAAAAUAGGUGCCCGUACCGCAAACCGACACAGGUAGUCAAGAUGAGAAUUCUAAGGUGAGCGAGCGAACUCUCGUUAAGGAACUCGGCAAAAUGACCCCGUAACUUCGGGAGAAGGGGUGCUCUUUAGGGUUAACGCCCAGAAGAGCCGCAGUGAAUAGGCCCAAGCGACUGUUUAUCAAAAACACAGGUCUCUGCUAAACCGUAAGGUGAUGUAUAGGGGCUGACGCCUGCCCGGUGCUGGAAGGUUAAGAGGAGUGGUUAGCUUCUGCGAAGCUACGAAUCGAAGCCCCAGUAAACGGCGGCCGUAACUAUAACGGUCCUAAGGUAGCGAAAUUCCUUGUCGGGUAAGUUCCGACCCGCACGAAAGGCGUAACGAUUUGGGCACUGUCUCAACGAGAGACUCGGUGAAAUCAUAGUACCUGUGAAGAUGCAGGUUACCCGCGACAGGACGGAAAGACCCCGUGGAGCUUUACUGUAGCCUGAUAUUGAAAUUCGGCACAGCUUGUACAGGAUAGGUAGGAGCCUUUGAAACGUGAGCGCUAGCUUACGUGGAGGCGCUGGUGGGAUACUACCCUAGCUGUGUUGGCUUUCUAACCCGCACCACUUAUCGUGGUGGGAGACAGUGUCAGGCGGGCAGUUUGACUGGGGCGGUCGCCUCCUAAAAGGUAACGGAGGCGCUCAAAGGUUCCCUCAGAAUGGUUGGAAAUCAUUCAUAGAGUGUAAAGGCAUAAGGGAGCUUGACUGCGAGACCUACAAGUCGAGCAGGGUCGAAAGACGGACUUAGUGAUCCGGUGGUUCCGCAUGGAAGGGCCAUCGCUCAACGGAUAAAAGCUACCCCGGGGAUAACAGGCUUAUCUCCCCCAAGAGUUCACAUCGACGGGGAGGUUUGGCACCUCGAUGUCGGCUCAUCGCAUCCUGGGGCUGUAGUCGGUCCCAAGGGUUGGGCUGUUCGCCCAUUAAAGCGGUACGCGAGCUGGGUUCAGAACGUCGUGAGACAGUUCGGUCCCUAUCCGUCGUGGGCGUAGGAAAUUUGAGAGGAGCUGUCCUUAGUACGAGAGGACCGGGAUGGACAUACCUCUGGUGUACCAGUUGUCGUGCCAACGGCAUAGCUGGGUAGCUAUGUGUGGACGGGAUAAGUGCUGAAAGCAUCUAAGCAUGAAGCCCCCCUCAAGAUGAGAUUUCCCAACUUCGGUUAUAAGAUCCCUCAAAGAUGAUGAGGUUAAUAGGUUCGAGGUGGAAGCAUGGUGACAUGUGGAGCUGACGAAUACUAAUCGAUCGAAGACUUAAUCAA
rnacentral:rRNA from 1 species